rnacentral:rRNA from 1 species
CCUACGGGAGGCAGCAGUGAGGAAUAUUGGUCAAUGGGCUUACGCCUGAACCAGCCAAGUCGCGUGAGGGAAGACUGCCCUAUGGGUUGUAAACCUCUUUUGUCAGGGAGCAAAGGGCGCCACGUGUGGCGCUUUGCGAGUACCUGAAGAAAAAGCAUCGGCUAACUCCGUGCCAGCAGCCGCGGUAAUACGGAGGAUGCGAGCGUUAUCCGGAUUUAUUGGGUUUAAAGGGUGCGCAGGCGGAAUGUCAAGUCAGCGGUAAAAUUUCGGGGCUCAACCCCGUCGUGCCGUUGAAACUGGCGUUC